rnacentral:rRNA from 1 species
AACGAACGCUGGCGGCAUGCCUAACACAUGCAAGUCGAACGAGACCUUCGGGUCUAGUGGCGCACGGGUGCGUAACGCGUGGGAAUCUGCCCUUGGGUGCGGAAUAACUCGGAGAAAUCCGUGCUAAUACCGCAUAAUGUCUUCGGACCAAAGAUUUAUCGCCCUGGGAUGAGCCCGCGUAGGAUUAGCUAGUUGGUGGGGUAAAGGCCUACCAAGGCGACGAUCCUUAGCUGGUCUGAGAGGAUGAUCAGCCACACUGGGACUGAGACACGGCCCAGACGCCUCCGGGAGGCAGCAGUGGGGAGUAUUGGACAAUUGGCGAAAGCCUGAGCCAGCAAUGCCGCGUGAGUGAUGAAGGCCCUAGGGUUGUAAAGCUCUUUUACCCGGGAUGAUAAUGACAGUACCGGGAGAAUAAGCUCCGGCUAACUCCGUGCCAGCCGCCGCGGUAAUAC